GAUGAACGCUGACAGAAUGCUUAACACAUGCAAGUCUUUGGCGAAGCUGUGCUUGCACAGCCUAGCCAAGGCGGACGGGUGAGUAACGCGUAAGGAACUUGCCCUGCAGUCAGGGAUAACAGACGGAAACGACUGAUAAGACCUGGUAAAGUCAGGCGGACUCAUGUCCAGCCUGAUGAAAAGGGAUGCUGCAGGAGAGCCUUGCGUCCUAUUAGCUUGUUGGUGGGGUAACGGCCCACCAAGGCGAUGAUAGGUAGCCGGCCUGAGAGGGUGGACGGCCACAAGGGGACUGAGAUACGGCCCUUACUCCUACGGGAGGCAGCAGUGGGGAAUAUUGGACAAUGGGGGCAACCCUGAUCCAGCAAUUCGGUGUGCACGAUGAAGGUUUUCGGAUUGUAAAGUGCUUUCAGCAGGGAAGAAAAAAAUGACGGUACCUGCAGAAGAAGCGACGGCUAAAUACGUG
rnacentral:rRNA from 1 species